GGGUAUGUAAAUGCUUGAAAGUCAGAGAUCUUAUCAUUUCAAAAACCUUUUUAUUUAGAAGUAUGCAACAAGCACUUAAUUGUUUUGUCUAUAAAAGUUCAUAGAAUAACUGCAUGUUAUUUACUCUACUCUAGUUUGUGUUACGACGUUGUUUACAUGCAUGCAUACAAAUGUUUUUUACAACACUUAAAUUGCCGUUGGAGUGAUACAUAGAAUACGUCAAGUUGCCGCCAUUGAAUGGCUUUUUGAUUUUUGUUGACUAAAUCAAAUAUCAAGAGCGGUGAAAGUGUCAAGACAAAAACACAAGUGAUAUACAUUAUUGUGUGAAGAAAACGUUCUUGCUUGCAAAUGCUUCGCUUUCGUGUUUGCGUUGUCGUUUCUCCAGCUGGCGAUGUGUUUCCACUUUGUGAAUCCAAAUAUUUCGCCUCAUUCUUCAAGUGAUAAAUCGUUUUGAAAUAAAACAAGCACGAACAAAGUGUUAUAACAAUUGCGCCCGAAAGUCGAAAACCGGCGACAGCGUUUUCGAGAUCGUUUUUGAAAGUUAUAUUCAGGAAUGCGAACAGCCAUUGAAAAAUUAUAACCGCCAUUGCCUGCUUCCCAUUCGUAAAUACUCGGUAUUUGAAAGGAUAACAUACGAUAAAACAGCGGUCCAAUGCCAGGAAGAAAAUACUCAGAAAUGAAAUAUAAAGAGGAGCCGUGAAUAAACGAGAGACAAUGAAUCCAUCAGUACAUGUGCGCCAAUAAUAUUUCGCAAACUUGUACAAACAUAACAAAAGAUCCGAGAACGUAUUAUUCAUUAUAAGAUACGAUGAACAAUUUCUGAAGCAUCUUAGAGGAUCUUUAGCAAGUCCGUAGAGCAGUAUUGAGUUGCAUAAAAUUCCAGCCAAAAGUGAAA